UUCGAGCCUGUGGAUGAGCUUGAGGAGGGCCGUUGUGCUGAGGAGUGUGCUUUUUAUGUCUCGCUCGGCAGUUUUGAAACCAGACCUGUGAAAAAAGGCAACUGACUUUGUUCAGCAGUGAAGGAAGUUCGUGCUCUUUUGGCUGGUUUUGGUUGACUGUCCUGUUCCGACGGCACCGCCCCCUCCAAAGCAUGUGAUGGCUGUCCUAUAGUUACGGAAGCACCGGUGAAAUAAUUCAGCUGCCGAAGAACAAAUGAUGAGCUUGAGCUACAGACUUGGCAUGUGAAGAGGAUGGACCGCAAAUCACACUAUUCAGAAGAGAUCCUGAUUCUCAUGACAUCACUUUAAGGUGAAGAUGUUACAGGCUGCAGGAGAUGCACAGAGGACUUUCACAUCCAGCAACAUGUUGGCGACUUCUUACUUUUUUUGUUGCAUGCAAUUAAAUAGAUAAUAGCUAACAAGCAUAAA